CAACCACGCCUGACCCUCCUUCGGUUAAUUUCGGUAAUUCUGUCGGAAAAGUGGCAGUUGGUGUUUGGUAUCUGAUAUGGAAAAGAUCCUGAAAAAUUGCUUCGUUGAUGAUUUGUGCUCCUGUCUGGAUAAGACCUACUCAAAAAAAGGUCCUGGCUGGGAUAGCCUUUGUCAACUCCCUCCGUAUUGAUGUGUUAUAGCUGGACUGCUGAGCUUUCAUGUGAUGGAGGCAGAAUUUGUCUUACUACUACUACUCCCCUUCUCUCAAAGUUCCUUACACAACUUGACCAACGCACUGAGCAGCUCAUGAAAGUGUUGAACAAAGGAGACUCUGCAGAGAGGAAAAUCAGGAUCAUUAUGGCCCCAAUGACACAGGUAUGUUUUGCUGUUGGU